GCCAGGAGUGUCCGAGGAAUAUCACCUGUAUCCCCGCGGUGGUGGUGGUGUAAGCCUGUACUUUGCCCUCAGCUUACCCUGUUACAGCAAAUACUUGGCGCCUAAGAAGAGACAAGCGACAAGCACUCUAGGAAUCAGAAAAGACUGUUUAUUUCGCACCGGUGCGGGCCCAGCGGAGUCACCUCCAAAGGCUGAGCAUUUGGCUCAGGUUUUACUGGUCUUUUAUACCUAUGUGCUUCUGGGUUGGGUGGGACUAGUAUAGUCAAGCUUCUGGUUCCUGGCUGCUGGCCAAUGCAAGAGGCAAGCAAGAUUGCAGAAGCCAAAAGCAUGCAAGGGGAAUAUUUGGCCUUGGACAUCUGGCUGGUCCUUUUAACUUGUGU